UACGUAGGUGGCAAGCGUUGUCCGGAUUUAUUGGGUUUAAAGGGUGCGUAGGCGGUUCAUUAAGUCAGUGGUGAAAUCCGGCAGCUUAACUGUCGAGGUGCCAUUGAUACUGGUGAACUUGAGUACUGAUGAGGUAGGCGGAAUGGACGGUGUAGCGGUGAAAUGCUUAGAGAUCGGGCAGAACACCGAUAGCGAAGGCAGCUUACUAAGGAGUAACUGACGCUGAGGCACGAAAGUGUGGGGAUCAAACAGG
rnacentral:rRNA from 1 species